rnacentral:rRNA from 1 species
GAUGAACGCUAGCUACAGGCUUAACACAUGCAAGUCGAGGGGAAACGAUAUUGGAAGCUUGCUUCCGAUAGGCGUCGACCGGCGCACGGGUGAGUAACGCGUAUCCAACCUGCCCAUCACUUGGGGAUAACCUUGCGAAAGUAAGACUAAUACCCAAUGACGUCUCUAGAAGACAUCUGAAAGAGAUUAAAGAUUUAUCGGUGAUGGAUGGGGAUGCGUCUGAUUAGCUUGUUGGAGGGGUAACAGCCCACCAAGGCGACGAUCAGUAGGGGUUCUGAGAGGAAGGUCCCCCACAUUGGAACUGAGACACGGUCCAAACUCCUACGGGAGGCAGCAGUGAGGAAUAUUGGUCAAUGGACGAGAGUCUGAACCAGCCAAGUAGCGUGCAGGAAGACGGCCCUAUGGGUUGUAAACUGCUUUUAUAAGGGAAUAAAGUGAGUCUCGUGAGACUUUUUGCAUGUACCUUAUGAAUAAGGACCGGCUAAUUCCGUGCCAGCCGCCGCCGUAAUAC